GGGAGCGAUCAUACCAGCACUAAUGCAUCGGAUCCCAUCAGAACUCCGAAGUUAAGCUGCUUGGGCGAGAGUAGUUCUAGGAUGGGUGACCUCAUGGGAAGUCCUUGUGUUGCACCAC
rnacentral:rRNA from 1 species